GAUGAACGCUGGCGGCGUGCCUAAUACAUGCAAGUCGAGCGAACAGACGAGGAGCUUGCUCCUCUGACGUUAGCGGCGGACGGGUGAGUAACACGUGGAUAACCUACCUAUAAGACUGGGAUAACUUCGGGAAACCGGAGCUAAUACCGGAUAAUAUAUUGAACCGCAUGGUUCAAUAGUGAAAGACGGUUUCGCUGUCACUUAUAGAUGGAUCCGCGCCGCAUUAGCUAGUUGGUAAGGUAACGGCUUACCAAGGCGACGAUGCGUAGCCGACCUGAGAGGGUGAUCGGCCACACUGGAACUGAGACACGGUCCAGAGUCCUACGGGAGGCAGCAGUAGGGAAUCUUCCGCAAUGGGCGAAAGCCUGACGGAGCAACGCCGCGUGAGUGAUGAAGGUCUUCGGAUCGUAAAACUCUGUUAUUAGGGAAGAACAAAUGUGUAAGUAACUAUGCACGUCUUGACGGUACCUAAUCAGAAAGCCACGGCUAACUACGUG
rnacentral:rRNA from 1 species